rnacentral:rRNA from 1 species
UACGUAGGGGGCAAGCGUUGUCCGGAUUUAUUGGGCGUAAAGAGCGUGUAGGCGGCUAGGUAGGUCCGUUGUGAAAACUCGAGGCUCAACCUCGAGACGUCGAUGGAAACCAUCUAGCUAGAGUCCGGAAGAGGAGAGUGGAAUUCCUGGUGUAGCGGUGAAAUGCGCAGAUAUCAGGAAGAACACCCGUGGCUAAGGCGGCUCUCUAGUACGGUACUGACGCUGAGACGCGAAAGCGUGGGAGCAAACAGG